AGGGAGGGGGCGGGGAGGGAGGGGAGGGAGAGAGGAGGAAGGGGUGAGAGGGAGAAACCUGCCGCGGCUCUCCGCCUCUUUGUCUGCUCUGGGACUUGGAACAAAAGGGGAAACUCUGAUGAACUCCUUCUCCAGCUCCCUGGACGCCCGAGUAUCUCUUUCUCGCAACUUUGUCAACGCGACUUUCUCCGCUGUCAGGCUGCGCAAAAGUAUCCUAGCGCCUCGCAGGCUGCAACAAUGGAAACAAUGUCCCUUCAAAGUGCGACGAAGUGGAGGGAGAAGGUGUCAUACCAGCGACUCCAAGAGUCAUGUCACCCACUUAGCAGGAGUACUUCUACUGAAAUGCCUUCGAAUUUCUCUUACUGGAUAUAUACCUACCAGCCGCUAGCAUGAAGAUGCCAGGACCGCUGCAAGUUAGCACUGGACAAAGUAGCAUCAACUUCUUCAUUUAGAGUUUCUUCAGUUAAAUUGCUGGGAUUUUCGACAAGGCUUUCCUUAUGUGGAUUAUUGGAGUGUGAUGCCCGAGAAUUCUCUACUUGUAGAAGCACGCCCACGGGACUGCAGAAGCCUUCACACCCACCCAGCACGCUCAGGGUUGAUGGCCUAACACUGGCUUAACACUCAUGUCGGCUGCACUAAUUGAAGUCACAUCCAAGUGGGUCAAUGCACUGAACAUAUCUGAUAUAGAAGGUCCCAGAUCCUGAAUUUUUAUCAAUGGUUUGCUGUAUAAGGCUUGCCUCCCAAAUAGCUGAGGACCCUUAUUUGGGAAGAUACGUUCUGAUGGUUAAGCAACAGCACAGAUGUCGAUGGGAAUGAGUGAUGGCCAUCCAGUGACCAGCUGGAUCUGACUGCCUUACAAGACGCAUGUGUAUGAUUAAGAGAGAGACAUUCGUGACUCCCAGAUGUACCUCCUUCCUGUCCCACAGUGUUCCUGAAGGGAGUGAGUUAUGGGGUAACUUAUAACACAGCAGGCUCUUCCUCAAGAUAGCUCUUGUCAAAACAGGAAGACGAAACUCGGGUUUCCAUGAGGAGACCACAGCUUGGGAUCCUGUCUGGAUGUACAAGCAGAAGCAUCUUCAUACUUUUCCAUUUCUAACCAUCAUGCCUCACCCCACCCUCCCAAGGCGACAUCUGCAGAGAGGUGGAACCAUCUAGGGAGGCCUGCCACUGUUUGCUGAGCUCCGGGUGAGGAUGAAGACACUUUGACAUGGCCAGCUUCAGACUCGGGAUCUGUCGGUGUUAGCAGCCGAAGGAGAAUGAGGAGGAAGAGGAGGAGAAAGAGGAGGAGGAAGUAAGACAGAGGGGGACAAGAGGACCAAGAGGGCACAUGGCUGAGGAGGAGGAGAACAACAACAACAACAACAACAACAACAACAACAAGAAGCUUGGUGUUUUCAGGAUGUGUUCCUGAGUCUCGUGAGUAGCACAUGGCAGUUGUUGUCACCUUGGGCUGAGCCGUGAAGAUUCUCACCCUCCCUUGUUGGGGAUGAACUCCGGGAUUCUAAGGAGAGGUCAGCAGGUGUUUCACAGACUGUUCCUGUUGGAGGAUUUGUCUGAUACUCUUCUCCUGAUUAGUCUGGGCUCUACAUUUCCCCAAGGGUGAAACUUGGAAGCCCUCUCCAGGAUGCAGCAGGUAGCUGAGGAGAAAACGAAGACUGACCAGCCCAGAGCUCAGAGCUUCCUCCCAUGCUCAGGAUUUACCACCAAUGCCAUUACAUCGGCCUCUUCUUGUAUGCCUCUGGAAACCACAUGUGUCCUCUGUUUGUAAUGGUUUGGCUAUGGUUGCUGGCCCCUCUUGGACAUUGUUUUCAGAACUUAAAGAAACAUUGCUUUAAAGAUUUAUUAGAACAUAUUUAAAAUAAAACCAUCUUCUCAUUUAGUAUGCAA
rnacentral:lncRNA from 1 species